rnacentral:lncRNA from 13 species
AUGCUCAUUUUCCAUGAAAAAAAUGCCAUAGAAAGGAUCCUGAAGAUGCACUCUGGGCAUAUUUAUGUAUUCAGCUACGCUCUACUUUUAUCUGUUGUUUUUUGUUUUUUAAAAGUCUACCGAAGAUGUUUGGGCUGGCAUAAACAUAGCAAUGCCAAAAAUACUGGACCGGUUAAGGAAAAUGUCUGGGCUGGCAUGAAUUAAAUAUGGUGCAAAAUUUGGGUCAGGACUCUGUUGACUCCAUGGUGAAAAAGUG